rnacentral:rRNA from 1 species
AGAGUUUGAUCCUGGCUCAGGCACGAACGCUUGCGGCGUGCUUAACACAUGCAAGUCGAACGGAGCUUCUUGGAUAGAGACUUCGGUCAAUUGAAUUGAAGCUUAGUGGCGGACUGGUGAGUAACGCGUGAGGAACCUGCCUUUCAGAGGGGGACAACAGUUGGAAACGACUGCUAAUACCGCAUGACACAUUUGAGUGGCAUCACUUGAAUGUCAAAGAUUUUAUCGCUGAAAGAUGGCCUCGCGUCUGAUUAGCUAGUUGGUGAGGUAACGGCCCACCAAGGCGACGAUCAGUAGCCGGACUGAGAGGUUGACCGGCCACAUUGGGACUGAGAUACGGCCCAGACUCCUACGGGAGGCAGCAGUGGGGAAUAUUGGGCAAUGGACGCAAGUCUGACCCAGCAACGCCGCGUGAAGGAAGAAGGCUUUCGGGUUGUAAACUUCUUUUAAGGGGGAAGAGUAGAAGACGGUACCCCUUGAAUAAGCCACGGCUAACUACGUGCCAGCAGCCGCGGUAAUACGUAGGUGGCAAGCGUUGUCCGGAUUUACUGGGUGUAAAGGGCGUGUAGCCGGGUUUUUAAGUCAGAUGUGAAAUCCACGGGCUCAACUCGUGAACUGCAUUUGAAACUGAAGAUCUUGAGUAUCGGAGAGGUAAUCGGAAUUCCUAGUGUAGCGGUGAAAUGCGUAGAUAUUAGGAAGAACACCAGUGGCGAAGGCGGAUACUGGACGACACUGACGGUGAGGCGCGAAGCGUGGGGAGCAACAGGAUUAGAUACUCUGAUAGUCCACGCUGUAUACGAUCAAUACUAGGUGUGCGGGGACUGACCCCCUGCGAGCCGCAGUUAACACAAUAAGUAUUGCACCUGGGGAGUACGAUCACAAGGUUGAAACUCAAAGGAAUUGACGGGGGCCCGCACAAGCGGUGGAUUAUGUGGUUAUAUUCGAAGCAACGCGAAGAACCUUACCAGGGGUUGACAUCCUACUAACGAAGUAGAGAUACAUUAGGUGCCCUUCGGGGAAAGUAGAGACAGGUGGUGCAUGCUUGUCGUCAGAUUGUGUCGUGAGAUGCUGGGUUAAGUCCCGCGAUGAGCGCAACCCUUAUUGUUAGUUGCUACGCAAGAGCAGUCUAGCGAGACUGCCGUUGACUAAACGGAGGAAGGUGGGUACGACGUCAAAUCAUCAUGCCCCAUAUGUCUUGGGCUACACACGUAAUACAAUGGCGGUCAACAGAGGGAUGCAAAGCUCGUGAGCCAGAGCGAACCCGUAUAAUCAGUCCCAGUUCGGAUUGCAGGCUGCAACCCGCCAGCAUGAAGUCGGAAUUGUUAGUAAUAGCGGAUCAGCAUGCCGCGGAGAAUACGUUCACCGGGCCUUGUACACACCGCCAGUCA